rnacentral:siRNA from 1 species
UAUGGCUGAAGAAUCGUCUAGUU